GGCGAGUGAAGCGGGAACAGCUCAAAUUUGAAAUCUGGCCCUCGGGUCCGAGUUGUAAUUUGUAGAGGAUGCUUUUGGUGCGGUGCCUUCCGAGUUCCCUGGAACGGGACGCCUUAGAGGGUGAGAGCCCCGUACGGUUGGACGCCUAGCCUCUGUAAAGCUCCUUCGACGAGUCGAGUAGUUUGGGAAUGCUGCUCUAAAUGGGAGGUAUAUUUCUUCUAAAGCUAAAUACUGGCCAGAGACCGAUAGCGCACAAGUAGAGUGAUCGAAAGAUGAAAAGCACUUUGAAAAGAGGGUUAAAUAGCACGUGAAAUUGUUGAAAGGGAAGCGUUUAUCACCAGACUUUUUCUAGGGGGAUCAUCCGGUGUUCUCACCGGUGCACUUCCCCUGGUUGAGGCCAGCAUCGGUUUUCGGAGGGGGAUAAAAGCUUCGGGAAUGUGACUCCCUCGGGAGUGUUAUAGCCCGUUGCAUAAUACCCUUCUGGGGACCGAGGUUCGCGCAUCUGCAAGGAUGCUGGCAUAAUGGUGAUCAACGACCCGUCUUGAAACACGGACCAAGGAGUCGAACAUUUAUGCGAGUGUUUGGGUGUCAAACCCUCACGCGUAAUGAAAGUGAACGGAGGUGAGAGCCCUUACGGGUGCAUCAUCGACCGAUCCUGAUGUCUUCGGAUGGAUUUGAGUAAGAGCAUAACUGUUCGGACCCGAAAGAUGGUGAACUAUGCGUGGAUAGGGUGAAGCCAGGAGAAAUCCUGGUGGAGGCUCGCAGCGGUUCUGACGUGCAAAUCGAUCGUCAAAUCUGCGCAUGGGGGCGAAAGACUAAU
rnacentral:rRNA from 1 species